CAUAUAUAGCAGGGAAACUUGCCAAUAUGAGCUAAUUAUAUAGUAACAAACUGAAUACAAGUAGCAAAUAUCAGUAUGUUACAAAAAAGGAAGCAAACAGCCGUCAAAUAUAGCAGAAGUGUAACUGUGUAGUGAACAGUUAUACAUCUAAAAUAAAAGCCUUCCUUAAGUUUGCUGACCAACGGUGGUGCUGAAUAGUAUACAAAUCUUCCCAAAGUCACAAAAUAUGUUUGAAAUAGACUUUAUUGGGCGAAAAGAUAUGUUAAAACUUAUAAUUGCAUAAAAUCAGCUCACAGAAAGCGGAUAAAAGGGAGCUUUCCUGUUGAUGUCUUCCCCCAAGUGUUUCUGCAGACUCUCGGUAUACUGCCUCCUCAAAGCCGGCUUCAGAGAUAGUAUCGGUCGUGGUGAGAAACAGCUCGUCGAGGGGAUCCACCGAUUUGACGGCUGUUUGCUUCCUUUUUUGUAACAUACUGAUAUUUGCUACUUGUAUUCAGUUUGUUACUAUAUAACUAGCUCAUAUUGGCAAGUUUCCCUGCUAUAUAU